rnacentral:rRNA from 1 species
UACGUAGGGGGCAAGCGUUGUCCGGAUUUAUUGGGCGUAAAGAGCGUGUAGGCGGCCAGGCAGGUCCGCUGUGAAAACUCGAGGCUCAACCUCGAGAGGUCGGUGGAAACCGUCUGGCUAGAGUCCGGAAGAGGAGAGUGGAAUUCCCGGUGUAGCGGUGAAAUGCGCAGAUAUCGGGAGGAACACCGGUGGCGAAGGCGGCCCUCUGGACGGUGACUGGACGGCUGAGAGCGA